UACGGGGGGGGUUGAGUGUUAUUCAUCGUUACUGGGUGUAAAGCGCGCGUAGGCGGUUUAAAAAAGUUUUAAUUAGAACAAUCCAGACUUAAUUUGGAAACUAGUUUUCAUACUAUUAAACUAGAGGUUAAAGGAAGAAAGCUAUACUUCUCAGAAAAAGGUGAAAUUUGUCCGAACUGGGGAGGAUAAUCAGCAAGCGAAGGCGGCUUUCUAUUAUAAUGCUGACGCUUGGCGCAAAAGCUUGGGGAUCAAACGGG
rnacentral:rRNA from 1 species